AGUAUUCUCUCCUUACCCGCGUUUGUGUUGUGUGAUGGAUUGCCUCUCCAGGAUUGGGUUUCAGGAAAGAUGUGAAUCAGGAGCCGGCAAAUGAAAAUAAGAGUGAGGUGCCUACCAGUAAAAGGGAGAAUAGAAAAGGCAAAAAGCAGGAUAGUGUAGCGGAGGCAAAUGGACAGACUCUUUCUGAAAACAAUGCGUCCUCGAUUUACACACAAUUUCUGGAAUGCCCUCGGCUCUUCGUUUUCUCGGUACUCGCUAUUAGUUUCUUCCCGUAUAUAUUGUCCGGCUGCUCUUUGAUUGAACUCUAAGUAUUCUCUCUCUUUACCUGCGAUUUGUGUUUGGUGGAUUGUCUCUCGCUUGGGUUUUUCUCCUGAUUUGGGUUUUAGAGAAAACAUAUUCAGUUCUUAUGUGUAUAUUAGUUGGGUUUACGUGGCACAAUUUAUUCCCAAUGGAUGGUUCCUCGAGAAAAUGUGGCAGGCCGAAGCUGCAAGUUGAGAAGGGUUGCAGGAGAGCGGUCCAACUCGAUCAUUCAUCCAUCAAGGCAAAUUUUAUUGGCAUAUGAGAUUAUGGUUUGCGUGGGUAUACUCCUAAGCUUCCAAGUCUUUGUGGCAUAUUCCGUGCCACAAUAUGUCCUGUCAGGACUCAUAAUGUUUGUCUCUGCAAAAGUUCUGGAAGGAAACAGGUUAAAAUGUCGGGACUGUGGUUAAUGUUUUCGAUAGUGGAGCAGGAGACCUUUUACAAGUUAGACUUGAUAGAUCUCCCAAACUAUCUGAUGGAGCCGGAAAACCAAAAUUGGAGAUCCUUGCUUCUGCUCCAUUUGUGUGGGUUCCAUUUGAAGCAAUUGUUCCUAAUGUUACUAAUUAUUAUAAAAUUCUAGGCUCUGCAAAAACUGUUCCAAUUAGAAUGGUGAAUAGACAGUGUUCAUCAGGUAAUCAAGCAGUAGCUGACGUAGCUACAGCUAUCAAAGCUGGAUUUUAUGACAUUGGUAGCGUGACAUUGGAACAGUCAAUCCAAGGGUAAAAUCAAUUCUGUUAAAUUCACUCGGUAAAGAGCAUGGAACAUGCGCAAAACUGUCUUCUACCAAUGGGCAUAACUUCAGAAAAUGUUGCAAGUCAUUGUGGAGUUCUGGAUAUGACUGUUCGAUGUUACAGUAAUAUUUUUAUUAUGUUACCUCUUUUUUUUUUUUAUGUACUUCAUUAGCUUGAUUCAAACAAGAAGGCUUCGGCGGCGGAUGCUGCUUGAGGAAGGUUUAAGGAUGAGAUAAUACCUGCACACACCAAGAUCGUGGACAUAAAAACUGGGGAUGAAAAACCUGUUACGAUCUCUGUGGAUGACGGGAUUCGGGAAAAUGAUGUGGCGGAUCUUAGAAACUAAAGCCUUCAUAUAAGAAAGACGGGACGAUGACUGCUGGAAACUAAGAAUCUUAAACAUGACCUGUAUUUGAGGAAUAUUAAUUUAUCUCUUUACUCAUCAAUUCAUCAAUGAUAUUAUAUAGGAAAUUCUAGCCAGGUAACUAAUGUUGCUGCAGCUGUUCUCCUGAUGAAAAGAAGUACUGCUAUGCAGAAAGGAUUACCAGUUCUUGGGGUAUUUAGCUGCAGGUUGAAGAGGUUAAGAAGUAUCUCACAACUAAAGAUGUACAAGAGGGUUUUAAAAUCUCACUUUCAAACCACAGGGGCCAGCAAUGUAUCCGACCUCGCCAAUUACUUCCGAUCAAUGUAAAGAUAUUAUGUUUCAUGGCUCAUCAGUCACUUUGCUUAUAAUUGAAUAAAUAAAUCUUUUGCUAUUGUUAUUUUAUCAUUGUCUCUAAUCAUGAUUGUUUCUCGCCAACACAAUGCUCUCAGAAUAUUGUACCAGAGAACUCCCAAGACUUAUCUGUAUCUAUACAUAUUACCGACCUGUGGUCUCGAGAGGACCUUGAUGCUAAUCCCUAUCAACGUACAAGGUUUUUUUGGGCAUUUCAAAUGUAUAUCAGAUUACUAUAAAAUGUCAGAUUGAAGUAUAACCUGAGGAUGGGUGGCUAAUGAAUUGUGUUUUUUUAUGCUCUCUCUUGAGAUAUGGGUUGUUUUAUGUGGAUUUUAUUUUUCCUUUCAUAUGCUUGGAGGGUCAAAACUGUUUUAAGGCCAAUACAUAGGUGUUUGGAAUGAGAACCAUCUAAAAAUCUGACUAUAUGUAUGUGUUAUACAAUGUAUGCACAUACCUAAUUUGAUUCUAAAAUAGAGUUGUUUUUUUGCAACUCUUUACAAAUAUCGAGAAAUGGGAGAUCUACAAGUA